rnacentral:rRNA from 1 species
CCUACGGGAGGCAGCAGUGGGGAAUAUUGCACAAUGGGGGAAACCCUGAUGCAGCAACGCCGCGUGAGUGAUGACGGCCUUCGGGUUGUAAAGCUCUGUCUUCAGGGACGAGAAUGACGGUACCUGAGGAGGAAGCCACGGCUAACUACGUGCCAGCAGCCGCGGUAAUACGGAGGUGGCGAGCGUUGUCCGGAUUGACUGGGCGUAAAGGGAGCGUAGGGGGAGUUGUAAGGGAGAUGUGAAAUCCUCGGGCUCAACUUGAGUGCUGCAUUUCAAACUGGAAGUCUAGAGUGCAGGAGAGGAGACUGGAAUUCCUAGUGUAGCGGUGACAUGCGUAGAGCUUUGGAAGAACACCAGUGGCGAAGGCGCUUCUCUGGCCUGUACCUGACGCUGAGGCUCGCAAGCGUGGGGAGCAAACAGGAUUAGAUACCCCAGUAGUC